rnacentral:rRNA from 1 species
UAGGGAAUCUUCGGCAAUGGACGAAAGUCUGACCGAGCAACGCCGCGUGAGUGAAGAAGGUUUUCGGAUCGUAAAACUCUGUUGUUAGAGAAGAACAAGGACGUUAGUAACUGAACGUCCCCUGACGGUAUCUAACCAGAAAGCCACGGCUAACUACGUGCCAGCAGCCGCGGUAAUACGUAGGUGGCAAGCGUUGUCCGGAUUUAUUGGGCGUAAAGCGAGCGCAGGCGGUUUCUUAAGUCUGAUGUGAAAGCCCCCGGCUCAACCGGGGAGGGUCAUUGGAAACUGGGAGGCUUGAGUGAAGAAGAGGAGGGUGGAAGUCCAUGUGUAGCGGUGGAAUGCGUAGAUAUAUGGAGGAACACCAGUGGCGAAGGCGGCUCUCUGGUCAGUAACUGACGCUGAGGAUCGAAAGCGUGGGGAGCAAACAGG